rnacentral:rRNA from 1 species
UACGGAGGGGGCAAGCGUUAUUCGGAAUUAUUGGGCGUAAAGGGCUCGUAGGCGGUUUGUCGCGUCGGGAGUGAAAACUCAGGGCUUAACCCUGAGCCUGCUUCCGAUACGGGCAGACUAGAGGUAUGCAGGGGAGAACGGAAUUCCUGGUGUAGCGGUGAAAUGCGCAGAUAUCAGGAGGAACACCGGUGGCGAAGGCGGUUCUCUGGGCAUUACCUGACGCUGAGGAGCGAAAGUGUGGGGAGCGAACAGG